AUUCUCUGAUAUUCAUUCUGUACAAUAUGGCGACACCGAAAUAGUCAACUGUGAAAAAUCGUGUCGAAAAUAGUGAAAAUAACGUGUUUUUUGUGUGUUUAAGGAUUGCUACUAAAAUUAAGGAUCACAGAUAAUGCAAUCCUCUAGCCAAGGCCGUUACGGGUACGCUGGCUACCAAGGCUAUCCCUACGUCAACCCCAUGGUGACAGAUGUGCCAACUAUAGACGCUGAGACUGCGUCAAGAUGGGCCAACCUACCGAGGAGACCCAUGCAAGGAGGGUCGGCGGUCGUUGGUGCUGCCAGUAGCGCUAGCAGGGCGGUUAAUAGUCCACAGGCAGCCCCCUCUCAAUCAGAAGAGACGGUACCUCCGAAACAAGACCCGGACGUUAACCCAGUGGUCUACAUCGAUCUACCAGAGGCUGGCAGCGAGGUCUCCAGGAGCAUUGAGAGUCCUGGAGAUGUUGAACCGGAGUUUGUUCAGGACACAAUAAUGUACGAUCCGUUCGAGAACCGGCGCAUAGAUGUGCCCAAGGACGACACGAGGUCUAUAAUGUCCUCCGACUCCGAAUCCUCGUAUCAUCCACCAGCCAGACCAGCUGUCAGGCCUGACACCUUGAACUUAGUGGGGGCUGGCUCUAGCACACCCCAACCAGGUACUUCACGACAAACCCCCGGUCUACCCAGCUUCAUGUUGAAAGAGAGUCAAGUUUACGGGGGCGAUGGAGCUGACGGGUUUCCUCUGUCUCCCAUACCGAUAUCAGAGUUCCCUGAACCUCCCCCGGCAUACACGGAGAUGUCUCCCCAAGUUGCGACUCCUAGGGAGACUCCUAUUGUAGAGCCUUUGAGGGUUGAAACUCCUCAGGGACCGAGGACUCAAGUUAUACUGCCAAAACCACCAAGCCCAGUGAUAGCGAGCAGUCCAGUGGGCGCACAGAACUAUGACCGCAAGUACCUGAUCUGUCAUCACUGCGGCUCCCGAGUCUAUACCCUGGUGGUCAGAGAAAAUGGCGCCUUAACACACAUGAUCGCGUGUAUUAUAUUAUUUUUGUUUUUCCCAUUCCUGAUUUGCGUGUACUGCCUAGACUUCUUCAAAUAUAAGAAUCAUUAUUGUCCAAAUUGUAACAAGCUGAUUGGCUACGAGACACCUAUUGUGGGGGAAAAAGUUAACUAUGUUACUUAACUAAUUUAUAACAACGAAUGUUAAUAUUUUAAUUUAAUGUUACACUUGAGAGCUAAGAGUUGAGCUAGUUAUGUAUAUAUUUUAAAUGUUAUUUUGACGAAAACAAAAGGAUUUGUAGACAGACUUUCAUCUUCAGAGUUAUUUACAAAAAAAAAUGUUAUAAAAGAAGAAUUUCCACUAAAACUGAAAAGCGUCAAAAAACUCGUCAUCGCUGUCGACCGGGAGCGUGGCCAAAAAAGCUGGUAACAUUGCUGUAUGGCAAUGCUUAUUCUUUGUCCAAGGUAAUUUGUUGCCAGCCUUUUGGUCACGGGAGGCGUCUACCAGCCGUUUGGAAAGCUCAGAGAGACAGACAUGAUUUUCAUCUCUUGUUGAAAAUUACUCAUUCAAAUCAUUUUAAUUCAGACUUUUCAUGAUUAUUUGAUUUUGUGUUGUAUAUCAAAUAAACUGACUUAAUUUGAAGCACUUAAGUGUAAAAGAGAGAGAUUUUUUAUUCGUGAUCCUGUACCUAUUUAGUUUUAGGAAAAAAGUAAUAUAUUCUAUAAAUAUACCUGUGUAAAAAUGCAAACUGUAAUUGUUAUCUUAUAUUACAAGUUUAUGAUUUUUUUUUUAAGUAGUUUUCGUUAAUUUUAAGUAGGUAAUAAAUGUAAUUUCAUAAAAUAAAUUAAUAAUUUGUUUAAAAUGCGUUCAUUUGUUAAAUUAGGAUUCAAAGUCGGUUGCAAAAAAUCGUCGUUCAAAUUGUUUAUGUUUUAGCUACUUUAUAUAAGAUAUGCUUUUGAUAAGAUUGAAGUACAUAUAAAAAUAAUUUGAGCAUUUCAUGUAAACGUCUCGUGUAAUUUACGAAAUAAUUGAAUUUUAAUGAAAUCAAUGUACAGUGAUCAGCCCGCUAUUGGCGUAUAAUAAAUGACUUGAUAAUAAUCAAAGUAUAGACACUUACAAUGGACAAAAACUAUUUUAAGAUACACAACAUACAAACAAAUAUUUUAUUCUCUUCACAGACUGAUUUAAUAUACCUCUAGAAUGGGUCCAAAUUAUUAAACCAUUGUCAGUAGAACGAAUGAGAUCAAAAUUUUGAUAUCUUGUAUUUCUGGGAAUUUUCAUAUUUAUGUUUCUUCUAUACGUAUACUCUUUAAGAAAAAGGGUAAAAAAUAGUACCUACAGCGAUCUUUUUUUGUUUUCCAUAGAUAACUAGUUCACAUUGCUACUCGUAAGUAUACUAUUUGUGAUAUAUAACACAAAUACCUAUUAUAAAAAAAUAUAUUUUAUAUGUAUUAUAGAAUUUA
rnacentral:misc_RNA from 1 species